GAGCUUUUCUGACUUGUUUUUCAAGCAUGAAGGCUGCUACAGACAUUCUUCCCUUUUUCUCUGUGACUGGAACACAGUUGGAGUGACUAUCAAAGUAAUGUUAACAACAAGAUGUUCUGAAAGGAGGUUUGCCACGUUCACAUGCCUAAAGCUGCUUUCAGUGGCUCUCUGUUUGUUUCUGAAGACUAUCAUCCUAUUCAAGAAACGAGAGGAAACCCUCUAUUAGCUCAUCUGAACUCCUUUGCAAGCCUUUGAAGAGGUAACUCUGGGGCCCAGGAAAAUCCUACAUGUGACUACUGUAAAGAAGACAAUAAAGUGCAACCUGCCCUCCAGAAGUCCAAAUCAUGCUCUUGGGUGUGUCUUACUCAUUCCAAGCAUCUUUCUAUUAACCUGUCUAUUUAAAUCUGUGUUUAAACUCUCCUUUUAAUAAUAAACUCCAACUCUUCUCAUCCAGGC
rnacentral:lncRNA from 1 species